rnacentral:rRNA from 1 species
UACGUAGGGGGCAAGCGUUGUCCGGAUUUAUUGGGCGUAAAGAGCGUGUAGGCGGCUUUACAGGUCCGUUGUGAAAACUCGAGGCUCAACCUCGAGACGCCGGUGGAAACCGUAAGGCUAGAGUCCGGAAGAGGAGAAUGGAAUUCCCGGUGUAGCGGUGAAAUGCGCAGAUAUCGGGAAGAACACCCGUGGCGAAGGCGGUUCUCUGGGACGGUACUGACGCUGAGACGCGAAAGCGUGGGGAGCGAACAGG